CCUACGGGUGGCAGCAGUCGAGAAUCAUUCACAAUGGGGGAAACCCUGAUGGUGCGACGCCGCGUGGGGGAAUGAAGGUCUUCGGAUUGUAAACGCCUGUCAUGUGGGAGCAAAUUAAAAAGAUAGUACCACAAGAGGAAGAGACGGCUAACUCUGUGCCAGCAGCCGCGGUAAUACAGAGGUCUCAAGCGUUGUUCGGAAUCACUGGGGGUAAAGGGUGCGUAGGCUGUUUCGUAAGUCGUGUGUGAAAGGCGCGGGCUCAACCCGCGGACGGCACAUGAUACUGCGAGACUAGAGUAAUGGAGGGGGAACCGGAAUUCUCGGUGUAGCAGUGAAAUGCGUAGAUAUCGAGAGGAACACUCGUGGCGAAGGCGGGUUCCUGGACAUUAACUGACGCUGAGGCACGAAGGCCAGGGGAGCGAAAGGGAUUAGAUACCCCUGUAGUC
rnacentral:rRNA from 1 species